rnacentral:rRNA from 1 species
CUACGGGCGGCUGCAGUGGGGAAUAUUGCACAAUGGGCGCAAGCCUGAUGCAGCCAUGCCGCGUGUAUGAAGAAGGCCUUCGGGUUGUAAAGUACUUUCAGCGGGGAGGAAGGGAGUAAAGUUAAUACCUUUGCUCAUUGACGUUACCCGCAGAAGAAGCACCGGCUAACUCCGUGCCAGCAGCCGCGGUAAUACGGAGGGUGCAAGCGGUAAUCGGAAUUACUGGGCGUAAAGCGCACGCAGGCGGUGUGUUAAGUCAGAUGUGAAAUCCCCGGGCUCAACCUGGGAACUGCAUCUGAUACUGGCAAGCUUGAGUCUCGUAGAGGGGGGUAGAAUUCCAGGUGUAGCGGUGAAAUGCGUAGAGAUCUGGAGGAAUACCGGUGGCGAAGGCGGCCCCCUGGACGAAGACUGACGCUCAGGUGCGAAAGCGUGGGGAGCAAACAGGAUUAGAUACCCUGGUAGUC